UACAGAGGUGGCAAGCGUUGUUCGGAAUUACUGGGCGUAAAGGGCGCGUAGGCGGUCCUGUAAGUCUUGUGUGAAAUCCCUCGGCUUAACUGAGGAACUGCACAGGAUACUGCGAGACUUGAGUUCGGGAGAGGGAAGCGGAAUUCCGGGUGUAGCGGUGAAAUGCGUAGAUAUCCGGAGGAACACCGGUGGCGAAGGCGGCGUUCUGGACUGUCUCUGACACUGAAGAACGAAAGCCAGGGGAGCAAACGGG
rnacentral:rRNA from 1 species